AUUUCAUGAUAAGGGCACUUCCGUAAUAAUUCUUUGUACUUUUCUCAUGCCUCAUAUAAGGAAUCAUCAUCCAUUUGUUGGAAAACAGUGAUCUCGUUCCUCAGCUU
rfam:Gossypium hirsutum cultivar TM-1 chromosome 24, whole genome shotgun sequence